UUGGGGAAUGGCUCCCUCUGCCGACUCGCCGAGGAGGCCCCGGGAGGCCCAGUGAUGGAAUGUUAAAACCAUGAACGGGCUUUUCCAUUUGUGGGUUAGACAGGACAUGAAUUCUGGAAUCUGCUUCUCUGACUGUCCAUCUUCCUCUUCCAGACUAAAGAGUUUUCCAGCUUUUACAGGACCCCAAAAGAUACAAAUUUGACUGCUGCAAAGUUCUUUCUUGUGUCGUUGAAUUCUAUCCCCCUCUCCCCACAAAAAAACAAAAACAGGUUUAAGCCCCAUAACCACUCCAGGUAACCAUCUCCUACCAGGCUUCUCUUCCUCCCAUUAAUAAGAACUCUUUCUUUUUAGAGAGACUUCAAGAGCGUUCGAGUCCCUACUCAAUAACGCUCCUGGAAAAUAGUACAGACUCCAUAUUAUGUUUGAGUGAAUAAAUGAAUGGAAUGAAUGAACAUAGAUAUGUUUGAAGCCCCUCACCAUCCUCUUUACUCUCCCUGGAAAUACACAGGGGAAGACUGUUUUGGUGUUUGUUUAUUUGUUUGUUUAGCAGUCAUCAUUGCCCCUUCUCUGGUAACAGUACCUCCAUUUUUCUUUGAGAUACCAUCCCUGCCACAAGGACAGCAGUCUGGGUGGAAGGUCAGUCAGGAUGGUCCAGCUUUUCCCUGUCCAGAAGAGAGCAACUGACCUCAGCUAAGCCCCUCAGGCCCUCUCUGCCAGGAGUUGGAACUUUGAUCUGGGCAGCACAGGCACAAAUAAUUCUAGAGGUGAUUAAUCCAUAUGGCUGUUUUCUAAGGAAAUUGGCUGUUAGUUCAUGCCACUUAUUACCCAAAGAUAUUUUGCUUUAUGAAACUUGGUUGCCC
rnacentral:lncRNA from 10 species